rnacentral:rRNA from 1 species
UGACGAAGUCUGACGGAGCACGCCGCGUGAGCGAUGAAGGCCUUCGGGUCGUAAAGCUCUGUUGUUAGGGAAGAACAAGUACCGUUCGAAUAGGGCGGUACCUUGACGGUACCUAACCAAAAAGCCACGGCUAACUACUUGCCACCAGCCGCGGUAAUACUUAGGUGGCAAGCGUUGUCCGGAAUUAUUGGGCGUAAAGCGCCCGCAGGCGGUUCCUUAAUUCUAAUGUGAAAGCCCACGGCUCACCCGGGAAGGGUCAUUGGAAACUGGGGAACUUGAUUGCAAAAAAGGAAAGCGAAAUUCCCCGUGUACCGGUGAAAUGCUUAAAGAUGUGAAGGAACACCAUUGGCAAAGGCGGCUUUUUGGUCUGUACCUGACGCUGAGGCCCGAAACC